UACGUAGGGUGCAAGCGUUGUCCGGAAUUAUUGGGCGUAAAGAGCUCGUAGGCGGUUUGUCGCGUCUGCUGUGAAAACUCGGGGCUCAACUCCGAGCUUGCAGUGGGUACGGGCAGACUAGAGUGCGGUAGGGGAGACUGGAAUUCCUGGUGUAGCGGUGGAAUGCGCAGAUAUCAGGAGGAACACCGGUGGCGAAGGCGGGUCUCUGGACAGUUACCGACGCUGAGGCACGAAGGUCAGGGGAGCAAACGGG
rnacentral:rRNA from 1 species